rnacentral:rRNA from 1 species
GUCCACGCUGUAAACGAUGAGUACUAGGUGUUGGGGGUAUCGACCCCCUCAGUGCCGAAGCUAACGCGAUAAGUACUCCGCCUGGGGACUACGGCCGCAAGGCUAAAACUCAAAGGAAUUGACGGGGGCCCGCACAAGCAGCGGAGCGUGUGGUUUAAUUCGACGCAACGCGAAGAACCUUACCUAGGCUUGACAUGUACGUGGUACGACCCUGAAAGGGGAAGGACUCGCAAGAGAGCGUACACAGAUGCUGCAUGGCUGUCGU